rnacentral:rRNA from 1 species
GACGAACGCUGGCGGCGUGCUUAACACAUGCAAGUCGAACGGAAAGGCCCUGCUUUUGUGGGGUGCUCGAGUGGCGAACGGGUGAGUAACACGUGAGUAACCUGCCCUUGACUUUGGGAUAACUUCAGGAAACUGGGGCUAAUACCGGAUAGGAGCUCCUGAUGCAUGGUGGGGGUUGGAAAGUUUCGGCGGUUGGGGAUGGACUCGCGGCUUAUCAGCUUGUUGGUGGGGUAGUGGCUUACCAAGGCUUUGACGGGUAGCCGGCCUGAGAGGGUGACCGGCCACAUGGGGACUGAGAUACGGCCCAGACUCCUACGGGAGGCAGCAGUGGGGAAUAUUGCACAAUGGGCGGAAGCCUGAUGCAGCAACGCCGCGUGCGGGAUGACGGCCUUCGGGUUGUAAACCGCUUUCGCCUGUGACGAAGCGUGAGUGACGGUAAUGGGUAAAGAAGCACCGGCUAACUACGUG